UACGGAGGGGGCUAGCGUUGUUCGGAAUUACUGGGCGUAAAGCGCGCGUAGGCGGCUUUGUAAGUUAGAGGUGAAAGCCCGAAGCUCAACUUCGGAAUUGCCUUUAAGACUGCAUCGCUAGAAUCAUGGAGAGGUGAGUGGAAUUCCGAGUGUAGAGGUGAAAUUCGUAGAUAUUCGGAGGAACACCAGUGGCGAAGGCGGCUCACUGGUCCGGUACUGACGCUGAGGUGCGAAAGCGUGGGGAGCAAACAGG
rnacentral:rRNA from 1 species